rnacentral:rRNA from 1 species
AGUGAACGCUGGCGGUAGGCCUAACACAUGCAAGUCGAACGGCAGCACAGUAAGAGCUUGCUCUUACGGGUGGCGAGUGGCGGACGGGUGAGGAAUACAUCGGAAUCUACUUUUUCGUGGGGGAUAACGUAGGGAAACUUACGCUAAUACCGCAUACGACCUACGGGUGAAAGCAGGGGAUCUUCGGACCUUGCGCGAUUGAAUGAGCCGAUGUCGGAUUAGUUAGUUGGCGGGGUAAAGGCCCACCAAGGCGACGAUCCGUAGCUGGUCUGAGAGGAUGAUCAGCCACACUGGAACUGAAACACGCUCCAGACUCCUACGGGAGGCAGCAGUGGGGAAUAUUGGACAAUGGGCGCAAGCCUGAUCCAGACAUACCGCGUGGGUGAAGAAGGCCUUCGGGUUGUAAAGCCCUUUUGUUGGGAAAAAAAAGCAGCAGGUUAAUACCCCGCUGUUCUGACGGUACCCAAAGAAUAAGCACCGGCUAACUUCGUG